CGUUUACCUCUGAGGAUGUGACAGAUAAAAAGGGAGAAAAAUUUUUAGAAGAACAUGCCAUUAUUGAUGUUUUCUACCUCUAAGGAAGGGGAACUUAUAGAUCAUAGAUUAUCAGACGAAGAGAGAUUAUUGCUGAGCAAAGAUUCAAAGAAAUUUGAAAUUUAAAAGAACAGAAAGGAGAAGAAAAAGUUUGUAGGCACGAAGUGUUCGAUAUUAUCUCGACUUCGCAGAAAUGCUUCUAGCUAAACUAAAAUAUGUUUCUCAGAGUCAUAAUAGUCGAAAAUUUUUUUACACGCCCGUUUCUAGAAAUUUGAAGUUCGACAUGAUUUUGAGAAGGAACAAGAAGGAAGAUAUCUGGAUACAAAGUUUCAAGUUGACGUAUUAUUGUUUCGACGUUUAUAGAGAAUCGUUACGUUUGUUCGCAGGAGAAAGACUGUGGCGGGUCUUGAACGUGGCGAGAGAAGAAACGAAGGAGAGAAGAAGCGAGGAAAAGGACAACGUGGUGAAUUCCCCUGGUGAAAACGACCUGAUGGCCGUCCAAGUGUAGAGCGCAAUGGAUACACAGGUUCGGGUGGCAAGUCGCGCAUGAAAAUUUCAACGGUGACAAUCGCGUCUCGCCAGGCAAAGCGGCCGAGAGCACGCUCCCCUGCCUCUCGAUCCGAUAAUGCACACCUCCGUGCGUAUCUCAUUAAAGUUCGCGGCGUGAAACGCGCGCCAGAAAGACGCGAAGGGAGGAGGAGAGAAAAAGGAAUCGGCGCGAACAACCGUGAAACGCACCGAUGCUGAUCCGAUCACGGCCUGUAAUCGAAUUUUUUUUCCCACCGUUGUUCUUUUCCUUCUCCGGUUCCCUCUCUUGUUCCCUCCGCUGCUCCUGGCAUUAUCUUCUGGCGUUGUUCUUGGAUCUGCAGCUGCUUGCAAGGAACACCAAGGUGAACGUGAACGUGACACAAAUUAUCGGAGACGUAAUUGAAGGAGGAAAAAAGAAGAAGGACGAUGAGUUACGCAGUUACUACGUAAUUUUAUGCGAGAAAUUAACGAAACAGGUUACACCGAUUGAUGUAGAAACCUGAUAAAAAUCGUUAGAUUAUCGGGAAAGAUCACGAUUUAUUAGUUUUCAUUGGACGUCGUUCGUGAUUCAUUUUUCUCACCGAACCCUGUUGCGCAUACCCACAGUCGAGCCUCCUAGAAGACAAAUUCAUUGAAAAAAAGCAAAUGUUUCGAGAAAGAUUCCCCGUAAAUGUAAAAAAUUUUUCAACGCUGACGAACUACGAUUAAGUUAAAAAUAACUCGAUCAACAUUAAUGGCACGGUUAAUCGGGCAAAUCGAUUGUAAUCAAUAUUUUGACUCCGUUUAACAGCAGCAUGGUCACUUUGAAUCUAAUCAGCAAGCAUCGUCGUUGCGUGUGGGUAUAGCUUCCACGUGUUAUCGACAGUCAGGCGACAAGAGAUUCUAAUUUGUCGUUUGCAGAGUGCUACCUAUAUGGAAAUGGAGCCACCAGUAGAAAUAAUAAUAAUUAAAGGAACA